GCGUAGCAAUACGUCAGCGGCAGACGGGUGAGUAACGCGUGGGAACGUACCUUUUGGUUCGGAACAACACAGGGAAACUUGUGCUAAUACCGGAUAAGCCCUUACGGGGAAAGAUUUAUCGCCGAAAGAUCGGCCCGCGUCUGAUUAGCUAGUUGGUAGGGUAACGGCCUACCAAGGCGACGAUCAGUAGCUGGUCUGAGAGGAUGAUCAGCCACAUUGGGACUGAGACACGGCCCAAACUCCUACGGGAGGCAGCAGUGGGGAAUAUUGGACAAUGGGCGCAAGCCUGAUCCAGCCAUGCCGCGUGAGUGAUGAAGGCCCUAGGGUUGUAAAGCUCUUUUGUGCGGGAAGAUAAUGACGGUACCGCAAGAAUAAGCCCCGGCUAACUUCGUGCCAGCAGCCGCGGUAAUACGAAGGGGGCUAGCGUUGCUCGGAAUCACUGGGCGUAAAGGGUGCGUAGGCGGGUCUUUAAGUCAGGGGUGAAAUCCUGGAGCUCAACUCCAGAACUGCCUUUGAUACUGAGGAUCUUGAGUUCGGGAGAGGUGAGUGGAACUGCGAGUGUAGAGGUGAAAUUCGUAGAUAUUCGCAAGAACACCAGUGGCGAAGGCGGCUCACUGGCCCGAUACUGACGCUGAGC
rnacentral:rRNA from 1 species